rnacentral:lncRNA from 1 species
UAAAUUCGGCUGGCUAUUUAUGUAAAGAGUUAUAUGUGAAACUACAAACAUGUACCAUGCAUGAAACUGUAAAACACGGAAAUUUUGAUUCAAAUUUGACAAUAUAUAAUUUACCCAAUCAUUAGUAAAACACAAGAUUUUAUAACUGAAUGUUGUUAUUAAUGGUUUAACAUGGUUGAUUGCUUGCAGGUUUUUUCACUACAAACUCCAUUUGCUAAAGACACUUUCACUGGAAAUUGGCUGGUUAUUCCGUUAGCUGCGGGUGGAAAGUAUGUCUCACACUUGCAACACAAGCAAGUAUUGGAUAAACAAAUUGGAGAACCCUCACCACACUUAAUGUGGCAUUCUUGUACUUUUAGGCAUUGUUUAGCUGCACCUACACUAGCUGCGCAUUAAACAUAUAUAUAUAUAUAUUGUUAGCUACUAUGUAUUCCAUGCUAGCAAAAUGCAAAAUAUUUCAUGAUCACAAGGGGUUAUACAUAAUUUCUGGAGAGUGGUAUUACCAAAGCAAUGUUUACUCUAAUAAAAUAUUGCUACAUACUUUAUUGGUAUACUUUUUCAUAAAGGAGGUGUUCUAGAAAUCACAAGUGUGUUUGACGACUUUGGUUCCCAUUCGUUUUUGUCUUAUUUUAUUGACUGUCAUGACACAGCCACACCCCUCAUUGUUAUUUUACCACGUGGUUUACUAUUUGUACCUUACACAUAUAUAUAGGUGAUAUAUAAAUAAAUGGUUUAAUUAAAAGAGAAUUGGUCGGCUCCAAAUCUUCAAGGGAUAGAAUUGAUGCUACUAACUUUAGGAAAGAGAGAAGUAAUUAAUAAUGGAAAUAGCAGCAGUUGAAUAAAAGAGAGGCUAACCUAUACCAACCAGCAAGAGGGUGAGAGCAACAACUACAUUAACUGGAACCAGCUGCUCCUUCUGCAUCUGUAUCAAUAUAUAUAUAAUAUAUAUAUAACAAUAACAACAACAACAACAACCCAGUAUAAUCCCACUUAGUGGGAUCUGGGGAGGGUAGUAUAUACGCAGACCUUACCCCUACCCUGGGAUAGAGAGACUGUUUCCAAAUAGACCCCUGGCAUCCUUCCCUCCAAGAACUUCCCACCUUGCUCUUGGGGGGACUCGAACUCACAACCUCUCAGUUGGAAGUGGGGGUUGCUUACCAUCAAAGCAACCCCUCCUGUCAAUAUAUAUAUAUAUAUAUAUAUAUAUAUAUAUAUAUACAUACAUAUUAAUACACAGUGCUGCUUUAAUUUUAAGCAAGGGAAUUGUCCAAAAUAUGAGAAAUGUAGUUAUAAACUUGACGAUUUCAAAGAAUGCAAGCUUAUUUUAUCAAUCUUUAUAAGGCUAAAACUCAUCAAUUAUUAAUAAUAACAGCAAUAAAGAGAGUUGUCUCACCUUGCUGGAGGCGAAAAGGAUUAGAAUAUGGACAAUCUUUUUGAAGUUUCAAAGAGUGUUGAAGAAUUUUGACAACUUUAUUUCAAACUUGAGCUCUUUAGAAGUUGAGGGGAGAAAGAUGGAUUUUUAGAGAUAAGAACCGCUUUAUUAGUUAUUUACCAGUCAAUUACGGUGGAAAAUAGUAAUAAUUUGGUUUUACUAUUCUUUCUGAUAAAAAGGAGCCUUUUUCUUUUCAAGUUACUCC